AUUGAACGCUGGCGGCAUGCCUUACACAUGCAAGUCGAACGGUAACAGGUCUUCGGAUGCUGACGAGUGGCGCACGGGUGCGUAAUACAUCGGAACGUGCCCGAUCGUGGGGGUUAACGCAGCGAAAGCUGUGCUAAUACCGCAUACGAUCUACGGAGGACAGCGGGGGAUCGCAAGACCUCGCGCGGCCGGACCGGCCGAUGGCAGAUUAGGUAGUUGGUGGGAUAAAAGCUUACCAAGCCGACGAUCUGUAGCUGGUCUGAGAGGACGACCAGCCACACUGGGACUGAGACACGGCCCAGACUCCUACGGGAGGCAGCAGUGGGGAAUUUUGGACAAAGGGCGCAAGCCUGAUCCAGCCAUGCCGCGUGCAGGAUGAAGGCCUUCGGGUUGUAAACUGCUUUUGUACGGAACGAAAAAGCUCUCUCUAAUACAGGGGGUGAAUGACGGUACCGUAAGAAUAAGCACCGGCUAACUACGUG
rnacentral:rRNA from 1 species